rnacentral:lncRNA from 1 species
GGCGCGCGCCGCUUUUUGCUUCACAGUGCUUCCCACGGUUGUCUUAGGAACCAGUCCCCGAGGCUUGGCAACGCGGGAGCCCUCCGUGGCAGCGCUUGGGUGUCGGGCCUCCGAGGCUCCGGCCUGACCUCUCCACGGGGUCCACAGGAACGUCUCCGGCUGCCAGGAGUCACAAGGGGCCGAGCAGGAUGAGGAAACCACAGGCGGAGUCCGGGGGAAGCAGCGUGGCAUCCCAGCCUCAGGGCUGUCAGGACGGUGUUCGGGAUCGAGAGGACCACACUGCAGCCCAGGACAAAAGCCCAACGGUAGC